rnacentral:rRNA from 1 species
UACGGGGGGGGCGAAGCGUUGUUCGGAAUUACUGGGCGUAAAGGGCGCGUAGGCGGCCUGCUAAGUCGGACGUGAAAUCCCUCGGCUCAACCGGGGAACUGCGUCCGAUACUGGUGGGCUCGAAUCCGGGAGAGGGAUGUGGAAUUCCAGGUGUAGCGGUGAAAUGCGUAGAUAUCUGGAGGAACACCGGUGGCGAAGGCGGCAUCCUGGACCGGUAUUGACGCUGAUGCGCGAAAGCCAGGGGAGCAAAGCGGG